UUCUUUCCUUCUUUCCUUCUUUCCUUCUUUCCUUUCCUUCCUUCUUUCUUUCUACUUUUUAGGGCCGCAUCUGCAGCAUAUGCAAGUUCCUAGGCUAGGGGUCAAUUUGGAGCUGCAGCUGCUGGCCUACACCAUAGCCACAGCAAUGCAGGAUCUGAGCCAAAUCUUCGAACUACACCAUACCUUAUGGCAAUGCUAGAUCCCAGACCCACUGAACAAGGCCAGGGAUCAAACCCAGGUCCUCAUGGAUACUAGUUGGGUUCAUUACUGNNNNNNNNNNNNNNCAUUUUCAUAGUAACUCCAAACAUUAUCCAACAGCCACAGACUUAAAGAGUUAAAUAUAACAUAACUAACCUUAGAUUUGACUGAUCUAAGCUCUUAGACCAGAAGGAAAACAAGUGUUAGAUUUGGACUGGGAACUUGGGAGACCUACUUUCUAAUCCAGGGCUUUUUUUUGUUUUUUUGUUUUUCAUUCUGCAUUGUCUCUGUGGCACAGAGAAGCUGGGGAGGUCAAAAGAAGCCAGUCUGGACUGGAAGAUGCUAGGACUGUAUAUAGAAAUGACUCCUGUGCUUUGUUUCUUAUAGUGAUAGCUUUUCUAGUUCUCAGGCUUACUUGGUGUCAUGAUGUAACACUAAAUGUUUAGCUCAGCUCUUUUCCAAUUGAUAGUGAAACAGUUACUGUGUAUCUUGAAGGAAAAAUCCUUCAUCAACAAGAAUCCUGACUUUCUUUAAAAGCCAUGCCAAGAAAUUUUACUUUUUAGGCUACUUGAGAGAAGUCACAAAUGCUAUAAUAAGGCCCCCAAAAAAUCUGUCGACAUGUUUAAAGUCUCUUGUUUUUAUCAUAAAUUAAAUUCAUAAAUAUUGAACCUUAGGAUCCAAAAUCUGGUAUAACAUAAACAUCUUCCUCUCUAAACAAGACUCUAAUUGUUUUAAUAAUGACUGUUCACCCAUAACAGAGGAAGUUCUUCUUAAACAAGGAAUCAUGGUGGCUAAGAGAGCAAAAUUUAAUAACUGGUUUAUUUGAAGGACAUGGAAAAUAUUUCCUGAUAGACGUUCAAUUUGAAAAUGGAUUAUGGAGUUCCCGUCAUGGCUCAGUGGUUAACGAAUCCAACUAGGAACCAUGAGGUUGGGAGUUCGAUUUCUGGCCUCGCUCAGUGGAUUAUGGAUCUGGCAUUGCCAUGAGCUGUGGUGUAGGUCGCAGAUGCGGCUCUGAUCUGGUAUUGCUGUGGCUCUGGCAUAGAGUGGUGGCUACAGCUCUGAUUAGACCCCUAGCCUGGGAACCUCCAUAUGCCAUGGAUGCAGCCCUAGAAAAGACAAGAAGACAAGAAGACAAAAAAAAAAAAAAAAAGAAAAAAGAAAAGAAAAUGGAUUAUGGCAGAUGUGCAGAAGACAAUGAACUGCAUGUGUUCAAACAAUGAGAUUUUAAACAUCUAUUAAACGACUUUCCAGAGAAUAAGAGAUUUUAUUAAACAAGACU
rnacentral:lncRNA from 1 species